rnacentral:tRNA from 1 species
UGGAAUGUGGCUUAGUGGUAGAGUGCUUGCCUUGCAUGCAUGAAGCCUUGGGUUCAAUUCCUCAGUACCAC